UCCCGGGGUGGGACGGGCGCGCCGGGGGGUCCGCGGGGAGGGCUGGGAGGGCGACGUUGUGAAGUCGAGCUUGGGGAAGGACGAUGAGACCUUGUACUGCGUGGCCCCAGAAGCGCCGAAAUCGAAUCAGUGGGCGGACAUUGCAGGCAGGCAUGCUGGGGUCCAUAUGAAGACUUCCGAUCACCAGUUAACAGGGCAACGCGCGGUUCCAGGAGGUGGUGGCAAGCGCACCCCUGGAAGAAUCCAAUUCUGCACCUUCCUCGAGCCCGCCGCUGGGCGGCAGAGCAGCACUGGAGAAGCAGCGCCUGCAGGCACCGCCACUUCACGACCGCCUGUCUUAACUGGGGUACCAGUAUGAUCUGACAGUCUUCCCUUUUCCUAGUUAGCUCACUCUCACACUUCCCACAACCAGUUAAAAACUUCUCCACUCUAUUAUUCAAUGAAUACUGAGUGCCCACUAGGUGCCAGGCAUUCUUCUAGGUACUGAACGUAACAAAAUCCCUGCCCUCAUCAAACAUAAUGAAGAGAGACAGACAAUUAUCAAAAUAUAUAAAGAAAAAUAUAUUAAAUAAGUGCCAGGAAGACAAAUAAAUGGGUAUGGAGUGCUGGGGAGGUUCUAAUUUAAAAAAACAUACAUAUUCAAAUGUAGUCACAUCGCUUAACAACGGUGACGUGUUCUGAGAAACGCGUCGUUAGGCGAUUUCGUUGUUGUGUGAACAUCAGAGUGUACUUAGACAAACCUAGGUGGUAGAGCCUACUACACACCUAGGCUAUAUGCUACUAAUCCUAUGGGACCACCGUCGUAUAUGCGAUCUGUUGUUGACUGAAACGUCGUUAUGUGGCACAUGACCGUAUUAACUAUAGAAGACUGCACAUACUCUAAGUGUACAAAUUGUUGGAUUUUCACAAACUGAAACAUCCUAUAACCUAUAAAAGAGAAAGGAAAGGCCUCAUUGAAAAAAUGCCAUUUAAGCAGAGACCUGAAGGAGAGGGAGUGAGGCACCUGAAAAUCUAAGAGUAUUCCAGGCAGAGGAAACAGCCAGUGCAAAGGCCCUGAGGCAGUAGCCAUGUCUAGUUUGUUUGAGGAAGCAAGGAGGCCAGUGUGGUUAGAGUGCAGUGAGGGAGGGGAGUCAUAAAAGAUGAGGUUAGAGAAGUAAUGAGGACCAGACUGUACAGAACCUUGUGGGCAACCAGAAGGACUCUGGCUUUUACUCUGAAUGAAACAAAAAACCAUUGAAGGAUUCUGAGCAGGAGUGACAUGUUCUGGCUUAAAUUUUAAGAGGACCCUUCUGAUUGCUGUGUUGAGAACUGACUGUAGAGGGGGAAGGGUGGAAGCAGGGACUCUAGUUAGGAGGCUGUUGCAAUAAUUCAGAAGAGAGAUGAUGGUGGAUUGGAUCAGGGGGGUGGUAAUGAAGUUGGUGAGAAGAGGUCAGAUUUUGAUUAUAAUUCAGAAGCAGGGCCAACAGGGUUUCUUGAAGGACUGGAAUGUGAAAGUCAAGGAUGACACUCAGGCUUUUAGUCUACAAAACUAGAAAGACGGACUUAUCACCUCCUGAGACUGAGAGAGGAGUUUUCAUGAAAGUGGGAAGAUUGGGAGUUUGUUUUUGGACAAGUCUGGAAUCAAGAAGGGAGGUGUAGGCUAGAGAUGUAAAUCUGGGCAUUCUCAGCCCAUAAAUGGAAUUUAAAGCCAAGAGACCAGAAGAGAUCACCAAAGGAGUCACUGUAGAAUCUACACCGUAAAUCAAGAGAAAAGGUCUGAGGACUGAAGCCUGGGGCACUGCAAGUGUCAGAGGUUAGAGAUGAAGAGGAACCAGCAAAAGAAUCUGAAGAAGGGUGGAAAUUAGUAGAUUAGUCUUAUGGAAGGCCCACAGGGUGGUUACAGUAGCGAGGUCGUGGGUUAAAUGCUGCUGAUAGGGUAAGAUGGGUCAGUGUUAACCUUGACAAGAGCAGUUUCAGAAGAUCGAUGGGGAUGCAAGUCUAAGUGGAGUGGGUUCUGGAGAGAACGGAAAAAAGGAAAUGAAAAUACAGACAACCUUAUCGAGGCAUUUAAUUGUAAAAGAGAGCAGAGAAAUGAGAUGUUAGAUGGACAGGGGUGAGGAUUCAAGAGGACCGUGGUGGAUGUUGUGGUGAACCCCUCAGAUCCCAACUUUAGGAUCAAGGUAAUUGGCGCUCAUUCCCCAGCAGCUAGGGGCGUUGGCUGCUGGCAGCUCACAGCUGCAUUCCUCUCAGGAAUUGCCCUCAGCUGAAGGAAGCUGCCUCCAACAAAGUUACCCACCCACCCAGCAGCCCACAGCCAGUGACGAGUCGAUGCAGGAGUCCAAAGGCCCUGCCCUCUUGCCUUGACUCAGGAUUUCUCUGAAGGGCUGUCUGAGAGUCACAGAUACCUGUGGGAUUGAUUAAAGCUGCUGUUGCUCACAACUAGAAGGAACCACAACUAAAAGUAUACAACUAUGUACUGGGGAGAUUUGGGGAGAAAAAGCAAAAAAAAAAAAAGAAGAUUGGCACGUUGUUAGCUCAGGUGCCAAUCUUAAAAAAAAAAAAAAAAAAAAACUGCUGUUGCAACUAAGGUGACCAACCACGCCGAUUCCCACAGGACUGAGAGGGUUUCUGGGACACAGGAGUUUCAGUGCUAAGACUGGCACAGUCCUGGAUUGCUGGUCAUGCUAGUUGCAAAUGCAUCACAGUUCAACUUCUCCCCAUGCCCAGAAUUGUUUCACUUGCUCUCUAGUGUUUUUCCCAAAAACACUCCCCCCAAAAACUCCUGCACAAAACUCCCAGAAUCCUCUCCAGGGAACAGACAGGCAACAGAGCUUUUUAAAAAAAUUCUUUUUAAGACAGAAGAAACCACAGCCCUUUUGUAUGCUACUGGGAAUAAUCCAGUAAAGAAAGAAAAUCUGAUGACAGACAGAGACUUGCUGGAGCAAGAUCCUUGGGUAGUUAAUAGGGGGUGGGACUGAGUGCAUGUAGGAUAUGAUUGGCCUUAAACAGGAACACAGACAUUCCUAACAGGAGGGAGGCUACAAAUGCUGGGGGGUGGGUAGGUAUCAUGGGUAAGUUUAUGGAAGCUUUCUUUUUUUAGGGAAAACAGAAGCAAUGUCAUCAGCUGAGCUUGAAGACGAGAGGAGAUACUAGAGGUCUGAGAAGGUAUGAGCUGUGCGUUUAGUAGAGAAGAUUGACCUAAGGAAAUGUAGUGGUCCUGCAGGACCAAUGGAGGUUGACUGCCGUCAUUUUCCAAGUGGAGCCUGUCAGCAUGUCUGUUUUCUUCCAGCCACCUUCAGCUGCACAGGGCAGGCACAGAGCAGGCAGAGACGGAUUAACCAGGGUUAGGAUUUGCCAGGGAAGCACAAUGAAGCUAGAGGGAGGGAAGAGAGUGGAAGGUAUA